UUCUGAAAAUAAUUUCGAAGAUGAUGAUGGAUCUGUCCAUCUUUCCUCACAGGAAUGUAAUAGAAGUAUGAAUUUGGAAAUGAAAUUUAUUGGGGGGGGGGCGAGGAAAGAUGGACGGAUCCAUCGUCAUCUUCGAAAUUAUUU
rnacentral:pre_miRNA from 1 species